GAUGAACGCUGGCGGCGUGCCUAAUACAUGCAAGUCGAGCGAACGGACGAGAAGCUUGCUUCUCUGAUGUUAGCGGCGGACGGGUGAGUAACACGUGGAUAACCUACCUAUAAGACUGGGAUAACUUCGGGAAACCGGAGCUAAUACCGGAUAAUAUUUUGAACCGCAUGGUUCAAAAGUGAAAGACGGUCUUGCUGUCACUUAUAGAAGGAUCCGCGCUGCAUUAGCUAGUUGGUAAGGUAACGGCUUACCAAGGCAACGAUGCAUAGCCGACCUGAGAGGGUGAUCGGCCACACUGGAACUGAGACACAGUCCAGACUCCUACGGGAGGCAGCAGUAGGGAAUCUUCCGCAAUGGGCGAAAGCCUGACGGAGCAACGCCGCGUGAGUGAUGAAGGUCUUCGGAUCGUAAAACUCUGUUAUUAGGGAAGAACAUAUGUGUAAGUAACUGUGCACAUCUUGACGGUACCUAAUCAGAAAGCCACGGCUAACUACGUG
rnacentral:rRNA from 1 species